AAUACGUUCCCGGGCCUUGUACACACCGCCCGUCACACCACGAAAGCCAACUGCAACCGAAAUUACCACCCUGUGGUAAUGAAAUUGUGAUUGGUGAUUGGGGUG
rnacentral:rRNA from 1 species